GACAGAGGGUGCAAACGUUGUUCGGAAUUACUGGGCGUAAAGCGCGUGUAGGCUGCCCUGCAAGUCGGAUGUGAAAGCCCUGGGCUCAACCUAGGAAGUGCACUCGAAACUGCAGGGCUGGAGUCCUGGAGAGGAAGGCGGAAUUCUCGGUGUAGAGGUGAAAUUCGUAGAUAUCGAGAGGAACACCGGUGGCGAAGGCGGCCUUCUGGACAGUGACUGACGCUGAGGCGCGAAAGCGUGGGGAGCAAACAGG
rnacentral:rRNA from 1 species